CUGCAUCUCCUGUCAAAUGCUCCGUUUGACAUAAGAAAAGAGGUGGCAUAUACCCUGGGCAACCUGUGCGUCGCCCCAUCAGAUAGCCCAAGUCCUCCGAGCAUCAUUCUGCACCACCUGGUCACCCUCGUUGACCGCGGCUGCCUGCCAGGGUUCAUAAGCUUGGUCAGAUCUCCCGAUAUAGAAGCCGCGAGGCUCGGGCUUCAGUUUCUGGAACUGGUGAGCGACCCCCCGCACGAACUGCUUCGGGGAAGUCAACCCAUCUGCUUUGAAAGACAAAUAACUCGUUCCAAGGCAUGGUGCCGGAGAGGUUCUUACUUGCGUUUGUGCAGGUGAUGAGAGGCCUGCCGAACGGGGAAGGCCCGAAGAUCGUCGAGAGGGAAGACGGCAUCGACGCGAUGGAGAGGUUUCAGUUCCACGAGAACGAAGAGCUCAGGAUCAUGGCAAAUGGUCUGGUAGACAAGUACUUCGGCGAGGACUAUACGUAGACGAAGACCAUCUCCUUGUGGGUACUCCCUCUACCUGCGGAUCUUGUGUAUUAUCACGCCUUCUCUGAUCUAUCUAGACAUUUCUCUUAAAAAUAUCCGUGCCCAGUUGCAUCAGCUGUAGAAUGGUUAGAUCCGGCAGCAAAAUUGGCACGGCAUAUGGUCGGAGCCGCCAUUGUCCCCGGAGGGAGAGAUUCUAGGAUGAAUGAAACAGACCUGGAUUUUCCGUCCGCCGCCGGUGGACGCUCCGCCGCUGCCGGCGCGCGGCAUUCAUUCGUGGGGGGGAUGACGCCGGUGCCCGCCGAGCUCGGCGGCGGUGGGGCGGCGGUGUCAUCUCCCCUGCGAAAGAACGCCGGCGCGCCGCCGUAGCCCCCUCCCUCUCUCCUGUGAAC
rnacentral:lncRNA from 1 species